rnacentral:rRNA from 1 species
AUUGAACGCUGGCGGCAGGCCUAACACAUGCAAGUCGAGCGGAUGAAGGGAGCUUGCUCCUGGAUUCAGCGGCGGACGGGUGAGUAAUGCCUAGGAAUCUGCCUGGUAGUGGGGGAUAACGUCCGGAAACGGGCGCUAAUACCGCAUACGUCCUGAGGGAGAAAGUGGGGGAUCUUCGGACCUCACGCUAUCAGAUGAGCCUAGGUCGGAUUAGCUAGUUGGUGGGGUAAAGGCCUACCAAGGCGACGAUCCGUAACUGGUCUGAGAGGAUGAUCAGUCACACUGGAACUGAGACACGGUCCAGACUCCUACGGGAGGCAGCAGUGGGGAAUAUUUGACAAUGGGCGAAAGCCUGAUCCAGCCAUGCCGCGUGUGUGAAGAAGGUCUUCGGAUUGUAAAGCACUUUAAGUUGGGAGGAAGGGCAGUAAGUUAAUACCUUGCUGUUUUGACGUUACCAACAGAAUAAGCACCGGCUAACUUCGUG